CAAAAUUUUUCCCGUUUCCUGCCCCGAAUCCGUCUCGGAUCGUAAAACUUACCCCGUUUCCUGCCCCGAAUCCGUUUAUUUUCUCCCAUUUACUGCUCCCGUCGGGGUGGAUCGGGGCGGGAGCUCCACCAACCCGGAUCCGUUUGCAUCCCUAAACAAAGACAGUAAAUGCGAAAAAAGUAAAAUAAUUAUAAGUAGACUAUUACUAAAAAAAUGAUAAAUGGAGAAAGUAGAAGUAUUGAAAAUACAGUGAUCUUCUCAUUCAUGGGAGAGAAAAACUCCUUUGCAGGCUUCGGAAUUACUAUUUAUAGUAAUGUCUUCUCAGCCCACAUAUCUUAUUGAUCGGUUUUAAUAGUAGGGGGGGAGGAGUGCUGUAGCCAUGAUCGCGUAAGUUACGCCCCACUUCUCAACCGUUCCCGCCUAAUUUUUUUUUGGCAUCAACAGAUACUAUAAUUUAAAAUGCGCUGAAAUAAACAACCAAAGUUUUGGAUUAGUACUGCAGUUUAAAUACUCGGAGAGUUUAUUAUGUAAAUUGACAUAUAUAUACGGAUAGGUUAAAAUUUAGGGUUUAGAAUAAAAUGGUGAUAUAUAUAGGAUUUAAUAAUAGUGCGUGGGGUUAGUAAUUAAUACUUAGAGUGUAAUGAUGAUAUAUAAAGAUUAAUAUUUAGAGUGUAAUACCGACCGUCCCUAGAGCAAGUGGCAAAGGG
rnacentral:lncRNA from 1 species